CUACUUUAAUGAUUUAGACCUGAAGAGACUGGGUACCAACGCAGAUGCCGGCAAGCAUUUCGCGGCUGAAGCGUGCAUCGUGCACCGGCAACACAAACAAGAAGGAGCCCAGGGCCUCAAGCGCUGGUCUUCAAGGGGCAUUUCACUCCUGACGGCAAGCACAGGCCAUCCCUGUUGGGAAGACUGAUGUCACAUGCAACAGACAACCUGUGUACCUACAAGAAAAUCAAAAGUUCCUGACACUUCACCUCCUCCAUCCCCACUUCAUCCUCCUCUUCAUACCUGGUCAGGAUAUGGUGCCUACCUUUCCCGAGAGAUUGGUGUACCUGCACAAAGCUUUAACACAGCCCAGAGAAACUAUAGAAGUAAAUGCCAGUCAAGUCUGCCUGAGAAGCAACAAAAUGAAAUUUGCAGCAUCCGGAGAGAGGCAACUGUAGGUGGUGAUUUCCACGGCCCUUCUCAUGCUGCUAGGAAAAGUUAUCCUCUCCACUCCCUGAGCAAAUCUGGUACAUUUACUCAGAAACCCCAAUAUACUCUCACCUAGUUCCCUCCUUCUAUGACAGAAAUCUGAAACAGAUAAUGAAGUCAAGUGUCUUACAUCUGGAGAACGAGACCCAGGACUUGAACCCAAUUCUUAUGCCUUCUCUUCUUGGGUGAAACACAAAGAAUAUCAGGAGCACUCAGGAAAAAGCGCACAGGAAAGGAAGUCCCAAUUGGCUUCUGCUCUGUGAUCUCGUUACAUAAAAGUAUCUUUCUCAAACUUAGAAGCCA
rnacentral:lncRNA from 1 species